GGAAGCUCAGCUGAGGGGCCGCCCGGCCCCGCCACGCCCGCGGCCUGCCCGCCGCCCGCCCUCCCGGAGCGGCGGUGGUUCCGAGCGCCACCCCGCCGGCCGAGCGCUCGCUUCUCUCGGACGCUCCCGAGCCAGGCCGUGCUGAGGAUGCCGUUGCCUGUUCCUCCCUUGGGGAUGCUGUUGACUGCACCCGCCUUGCGCUUGCGUGGGUUGUCUCUGCCUGGUCUCACUCUCCUCGUGGCGUGGGGAUGAAAAGGGACAGGUGGCGGAGCGCUUACCGGCUGUGGACAGGAGCUGCCCUAAGGGAAGCUGGAAAGGCCAGAGAAAGGUAAAGAAGAAGAAGAAGAAGAAAUGGAAGGCCAUCGGGCCAGCAGCUGCCUCCCGCUGCAGGCAAGAGAGAGCUUGCCUCGCUGGGUGAGGAAGGAUCCCUCUUCAUGGUCUGCGGCAGGUCAGGCUGCCAACGUGCACCACAGGGUGCCAAGGGAUGAUUUGGAUCCCCGCAGAAAAUCCUCAAGCAAGUUUUGCCGGAGCAUCCAAGUAGUGGUGAAGAAGGAGCGGUGCAUGUAGCCAGGCAUCUUCCUUGGCUUCUGCUUCCGAAUGCUAACUCUUCAGACCCAGGCGGAGCGGCGAUGCUGUUUUGAGGCACGUGGUGAGGCCGUUCCACUGCUGGCUCUAGAGUUGGGGUGAUGGCCCCUUGUGGCAGGCAGGCGGGCAGUAGAAUGGAUGUGUGAGGGGUGGAGUGAGGGUGAGGUUGUGGCUGUGCUUAACUGUGUGUGCUGGGGGGUUAUUUCAGGUUCAGCAAGUUUUGCUUUUUGAAAUUAGAAUAAAAAAACCCCAGCUGGGGGAUUUUUUUUUUUCCCUCCCUCAGCUGGGUUUUUUUCCCCUGGUCCCAGCUACUCUGCAAGGCGACAUUCAUUGCCAGAGUUUGGACGGAGGUCCGGAUCAGGCCUGGAAAUAACAAAAAAAAAAGAAUUAUCAGUAAACACCUGCUAGCAGUCACUACUUCACUAGCAACUCUAACCGCAGCAUGCCAUUAAACAGUCACCUAUUAAAUUCCUGAAAAAAAAUUUUUUUACCACCACAUGCAUAUACAAAUAUAUGCGAAUUACCCCCAUCAGCUCAAACCACACAUACAUCAUAAUGACCACAAAACAACUCGCCCACCUGACCCAACUCAUUACUGCGAAUUACUAAAAAAACCCAAACCGCCUGUAAAACCCACGCAGCCCAGACGUGAAAAAUGACAAACGGCCAACAACACGAACAUCAUCCAAAAAACCCACUACAGGUAAUAAAAAACCCAUAAAAAAACAAAAAAAAAGAAGCAUUUUUGCAGCAACACACAACAACUCCACUAAUCACCAUAAAAAUCAGGGAAAAUACUAGGACCUACAGAACCAUAGAGACGACGGCAGUCACCAUAGACAAGAAGUAAAACUUGUCCCGUCCAGCAGCAUGACGCCAGUCUCCAUGAUCCCCAGUCCUCCAAGCCCUCUAUUUAAAAAACUAUGACCGGAAAAGCUACUCCAUGGCCGGAAGUCCUCUAGGAACCAGGAAGUCCUCCAACUCCCCCGGAAACCUCUCUAUGACCAGAAGUCCUCCUGCCGGACAGCGGAACUCCGCCGUCCCACUAGAAACCUUGUCCCAAUUACCCGGAAGACCUCCAGAACGCCAACAAAACCAGUGUCUAUGACCGGAAGUCCUCCAGGGACACCGAGAGUACUCCCAUUCCGACUAGAAACACGACGCCCCGUAACCGGAAGUGCAGUAAUACACCCGGAAGUAAGCCGCUGCGAACAUUUAAAAUAAAAGCGCAGCCGAGGGCGGGGUUUAGGGUGAGGGGUGGAGCUGGGCCCGGGGGUUGCGGUUCUAGUUAGGGGUU